rnacentral:rRNA from 1 species
ACACAUGCAGUCGCCCGAGGAAUUUACCUUCGGGUGGUGGACAGUGGCAGACCGGUGAGUAAUGCGUGGGAACGUGCCUUUCGGUUCGGGAUAACCCAGGGAAAACUUGGGCUAAUACCGGAUACGCCCUUCGGGGGAAAGAUUCAUUGCCGAAAGAUCGGCCCGCGUCGGAUUAGCUAGUUGGUGGGGUAAAAGCCUACCAAGGCGACGAUCCGUAGCUGGUCUGAGAGGAUGACCAGCCACACUGGGACUGAGACACGGCCCAGACUCCUACGGGAGGCAGCAGUGGGGAAUAUUGGACAAUGGGCGCAAGCCUGAUCCAGCCAUGCCGCGUGGGUGAAGAAGGCCUUAGGGUUGUAAACCCCUUUCAGCGGGGAAGAUAAUGACGGUACCCGCAGAAGAAGUCCCGGCUAACUCCGUGCCAGCAGCCGCGGUAAUACGGAGGGGACUAGCGUUGUUCGGAAUUACUGGGCGUAAAGCGCACGUAGGCGGAUUUGUAAGUCAGGGGUGAAAUCCCGGGGCUCAACCUCGGAACUGCCUUUGAUACUGCAAAUCUCGAGUCCGGAAUAGGUGAGUGGAAUUCCUAGUGUACGGGUGAAAUUCGUACAUAUCGGGAAGAACACCAGUGGCGAAGGCGGCUCAGUGGUCCGGUACUGACNCUGAGGUGC